UUGGAGGGCAAGUCUGGUGCCAGCAGCCGCGGUAAUUCCAGCUCCAACAGCGUAUAUUAAAGUUGUUGCAGUUAAAAAGCUCGUAGUUGAAUUUCGGGAUCAAUGUUUCGGUCAUGCCGUUGGUAUGUACUGAUACUAUUGAUUUCUCACCUUCUAAAGAACCGUAAUGCCAUUAAUUUGGUGUCACGGGGAAUUAGGACUGUUACCUUGAAAAAAUUAGAGUGUUUAAAGCAGGCUCACGCUUGAAUACAUUAGCAUGGAAUAAUGAAAUAGGACAUCCGAUUCUAUUUUGUUGGUUUCUAGGAUCGAUGUAAUGAUUAAUAGGGAUAGUUGGGGGCAUUAGUAUUCAAUUGUCAGAGGUGAAAUUCUUGGAUUUAUUGAAGACUAACUACUGCGAAAGCAUUUGCCAAGGAUGUUUUCAUUAAUCAAGAACGAAAGUUAGGGGAUCGAAGACGAUCAGAUACCGUCGUAGUCUUAWCCAUAAACUAUGCCGACUAGGGAUCGGAUGAUGUUAAUUUUUUAAUGACUCAUUCGGCGCCUUACGGGAAAC
rnacentral:rRNA from 1 species